CCUCAUCCCAUCUAGCCUGAAGCAGGGCCGAGCUGGGCUACAGUGUGUCUGUCUUGAGCUGCAGAAACUUGACUCUUUAACUGGGACAGACAGUGCUGUCAAGACAAAGCUUCCAAGGAUACAGCCUCUCCAGCACCUUAAAUUUAUCCAACAGACUUCUGCCAGUCUGUCUAAAAUAACAGAGCUCCAGGAAGCAAAAGAAAAAAAAAAAAAAAAGGUGGGGGAAUCUGCUGCCAUCACCCCCAUCCAAACCAGGCUCAGGAAAUUUUCCAGGGCCAGGCUGCCUUUGUGGAAGCUAUGUAAGGACUGGAGAAACACAUGUUCUCAUGCAAACAAACCCCAAAACAAAACAAGGGAUCCUGCCUUUGUACCUGGCCUGUCUCCAAAGGUGGUACAUUAUCUCCAAAGGUGGCCACCAUCAUUUCCUUCUCUCCCUAUAUGUGAUUUCCUUCUCUAUUGGCUCCAUUCAUCAAGAAGUAGAGGUGAUUCCUGCUCUUCCUCUUUGAACUUGGGCCAGCCUUGUGAUUUGCCUUGACCAACUGGACAUGGAGGAAGUGAUACUGUGCCGGUGCUUAGCCCGGCCUUUUAGAGGCCUGGCAUCUUCAGCUCUCUCUCAGGAGAAUACUUGUACCUGGAUCUUCACUAGGGGUAAGUCCUUGUUCUCGAUUUUAAACAUUUAUUUAGCCAACUAAGUGCUCUAUUAAUUCUAGUUGAAGGGGAGAUGCAGAGACAGUGUUCUAGUUGCUAAUGCUGUGUGAGAAAGCACCCCAGAAGGUCGUAGGUGAAACAACUAUCUUAAGAUGCUGGCUGAUCGGGGCUGGGGCAUUCAGAAGGGCCAAAGCAAGAGUGGCUUGUCCCUGCUCUAUGGUUCUUGGAUAACUCAAAGGGCUGGGGGCUGAGAGAGUGGAGGAAGGAGGACACACUUCCAGAUGGCUUGCUUGUUCAUGCACGUGGUUAUGCACCGGGCAGGAACAGGGACAGCCAGAGGGCCAAGCUCAAACUGACAGCUAAAGAGCCCAGAGGGGCAGUCCUUGGGGGAGGCGGUGCCCACUGCCUGCCUUAUAGACCGUAUCCCUACCAUCACCUUGACUUACUUUCCGCUAUAUGUUAUUGGAGGGAGCAGUCCCUAGCCGUCCUAGAUUCAAAUGAGGGGUAUAGACCUCACCUCCCAAGGUGGAGUCAGUAACAGGGAACUGUGGGCCACAUUUAAAACCAUGACAGGCUAGUGAAUGGCUUUCUGGGAGAUUUAUGGGUGAAGGGAGGAGGAGAGUCUUGAAGAAGCCCAGAUUCAGUCAUUCUAAGCGUUUGUCACAAAUGGAUCUAUCAUCUGGGUUUCAAAUACAGCUCUCAGAUGACUGCUCUUCAAGAGGCUGGGCACAGUGGCUUAUACCUAUAAUCCUAGCACUUUUAGAGGCUAAGGCGGAUGGAUCAGCUGAGGUCAGGAGUUCGAGACCAGCCUGGCAAAAACGGUGAAACCCCAUCUCUACUACAAAUACAAAAAUUAGCUGGGUGUGGUGGUGCACACCUGUAAUCCCAGCUAUUUGGGAGGCUGAGGCAGGAGAAUUGCUUGAACCCAGGAGACAGAGGUUGCAGUCAGCAGAGAUUACCACCACUGCAUUCCAGCCUGGGUGACAGAGUGAGACUCCAUCUCAAAAAAAUGAAACAAAAAACAAAACAAACAAACAAACAAAAAACAAAGACUGCCUUGUGUUUCCUUGCAGGCAGCCAGGGCAGAAUGCGGUGUUCUCAAGACUGCCAUGCUGGCUCAUCCAUACCUUGUUGGACUUGAUAAGUAUCGUAACCUAAUGAAGGAUGCCAUUCUGUGCUCUGCAAGGCCUGGGGGAGCCCCAGUGGGAAGGGAUCCAGAUGGUGCUGGGCCUGGGCCAAAAGUGAAAUGGGGGAGGACGGGUCCUUUCUCUCCUUUGUCCCUAACCUCCCCACUUCCUACUGCUGUCUGACUCAGAACCCUCAUGAAAAACCCAACUUUUUACACUGAUAUUUCCCAGAGGCCUAAUUGUGCAACAAGAAAUAAAAACACAAUUAGGGAACUGAGGUCCAGCAGGAAAUUCAUGUUACAUAAAUAAGACCUGGAGUGCAUAGGGGAGUGCCCCAGCUCUCAGCCUUGUUAGUAUUGAAGGCUCCGAGCACACAGAUCUGGGAUCCUCUGAUUUGGUGGAUAACCCUUGUGAACAAUAAUUCUCUGAAAAGGUAUUUGGAGGAAAGAGACUUUAUUCCUGUAAACAGUUUUCAAACUAGGGGAAUGCAGCUUUCAGUGUAAAAUGAAGGUGCUUUCCAGACAACAAAGGAGGGGCUGGGCUUUUAUAGAGAAAGUUCCUGCCCUGUUCCCACUCAGGUCCACUUAUGCAAAUAAAGGAUUCAAACUUGCUUAAUCUGAUUGGUUGAUGCUUGCUGAGUUCUGAUUUGUUGACACAGGUCAUAGUCUAUUGGUUGGUUCCGGCAACAUAAACAAGAACAGGAAGCUAUGAAAGUCCCAAAGUUAAGCAGAUGUGGGUUUUCUGGGAACUCAAAAACAUGUGUGACUUCUAGUCAGCAAGUUGCCGCUUGGCUCUAAAUUGAAUUUAGGCCCUGUUAGCCAGAGUGUGAACCUUGAGAGAGCCGGCCUUUCAAGGUUCACACUCUUCACAUGGGCUGGAGAGAUUCCUAUCAUAACUGAUUUAUCCAUUCACCCAUUGACAGGCACUUGGAUUGCUUCCACCUUUAGGGUGUUGUGGACAACAUCAACACUGCUACAAACAUGGGUGGACAAAAGGCUAGUUCUCCUCAACCAUGGUGUAUGUAGCUGGAGGGAAAAUGCCAAAAGCUGCAUUAUGAGAAACAGUAAAGUCAAAACUGGAAAGAUGGAUCAAAGCGUGAUGUCUCCCUGAAGCCCCUCCUACUAGGCUUGAGGUGAAGGAGAAGCACAGGAAGAAAAGUGCCUCAGUGCUCCAACAACUUUUUCCAAAGAAGCCCUCUUUCUCAUUUCCAACUUUAAACCUUUUAAAACUUUGAUUGGCAUAGAGCUAAGGGUUGGAGAACAUUGUCACUUCCCUCCUUUGCAAGUCUGUGUGGAUAGUUGUAUGUUAUCUCCAAAGGUGGCCACCAUCAUUUCCUUCUCUCCCUAUAUGUGAUUUCCUUCUCUAUUGGCUCCAUUCAUCAAGAAGUAGAGGCGAUUCCUGCUCUUCCUCUUUGAACUUGGGCCAGUCCUGUGAUUUGCCUUGACCAAUUGGACAUGGAGGAAGUGAUACUGUGCCAGUGCUUAGCCUGGCCUUUGAGAGGCCUGGCAUCUUCAGCUCUCUCUCAGGAGAGAAUGCAGCAGGCAUGUAAGAAGGCUGAUGAAUCAGACCACCAUAUUAUGAGGAAGCCCAAGCUAGCCACAUGGAAAUGGCACACAAAGGAAAGCUGAGGAACGAAACCAACAGAAGCAUCAGGUCCCCAGCCAUAUGACCCAGUUAAGCCACCUUAGCUAUGUGGUAUUCCAGGUAAGGUUCCCUGCUAUGUGGUAUUCCAGGUAAGGUCCCAGAAUUUAGUCAUGGAGGUGAGCCAUUCCCUCUGUGCCUUGUACAAAUUUCUGAGCCAAAUAAUUUUGAGAAAAUAAAAGACCUAUUUUAUACUGUGA
rnacentral:lncRNA from 1 species